rnacentral:lncRNA from 1 species
UGUUCUCCCUUGAUGUUGUAAUGCGUACAAAUCAUCAUUAAAGUCUUUUUCCAAGCAUUAUUGCCACAUGCAAAAGCCAAAAUAUGUGUAAAGUAGUGCACAUCGUCAACAAAGUACCUCCACACCAACCAACUUUCAAAGUAUUUUCCAACCCCAUAUCUCCAUCUGUAGUUAAGGAUAAACUCCUUUCUCUUUGCUAAACACAAAAUACCUUGAGUAUGAAAGCUCAUUUUCCUUUCAGAAGAAAAGAGUAGGCUUUGGUGGAGUUGAGAAAUGGUAAGGUGGUGCAGUAGGUGCAGGUUGCAGCAGUCAAUGAGGGCACUCAACCUCUUUGUUAACAUUCUUGGAGUUGUCAUGAUUCUUUACUCCCUUUGCCUUCACAAGACUUGGACUGAUGGUGGCUUCACAACACAUAUUUGUGAGUUGCAUUCAACUGGUUCCGAUACUCACCCUAUCACUUAAACUAAAAAUAAUCAAUAAUUAUAUAAUAGAUAUAUAAUCAAUAUGUACAAUCGUAUAUAAAUUUAUGUAUACCGGCUAGAAAAGAUAAACAAUGAAUCCGGUAUACUAUUUGUAUAAAGAUCCCGUUUAAAAAUGCUUCUUGUAUUUUGCAUGCUAUUCAUUCUUAGCUUCUUGUAUCUACUAUCUAGACAUUUUUUUUUUCUGUCAUAAUCACCUAACUCCUUAGUUUAUUGACUUAUUAGUAGCCAAUAAUCAUUUGAUCUUGGGUAUUUAUAAGCCGAUGGAAUAAAAGCAUACAUUCAAAUUAAUUAAGGGUUUAAAUUUACCUUCUUUGGUAACAGAAAGACCAAAAACAGACUCUAAUAAUAAUUGUUCAAAAGAAAAAAGAAAAUCUCCUUUCUUUUUCAUGAAUUUAAUAAUUGGUUAUUGUGCAUGUUGUUUUGUACAUUUGACUUCUUCAUUAUAAAAGAAUAUUUAUAGCUAACACUGCAUUGGCAAAAUUCUUUAUUGAAACAGGUUCAUCUACACAUGUUUAGGGAUUGGAAUUGUUGUCUGCUUGAGCUGUCUCUCUGCUCAUAUGGUCGCUAACUGUAUGACUCCUUCAAUACUUGCCCUUGUUUCCUUCAACUUUUUCAUUACCCCAUAAUUACCUAACCUAUCUCUUAAUUUAUCUCUAUAACAAAAUGAAAAAAUAAAAUAAAAAUUUAUUACUUGAUGUAAAAAGUGUUAUGUCUUCCAUUUCAUGUGAAACACUUUGUUGAUUACCAUAUUAAAUUAGCCUCAAUUUUUUAUUAUUACACUUGGAUAAAAAAUUAACACUAGUCUUGACAAUCUAAGCUACUAUACUACUAUCUAACCACGAUUUUUUUACAAUCUACUCAUAAUCAAAGAAUUAACACCAAGAGAAUUUUUGACAUAAAAAGAAAUUCCAAGUGUCUUUUGAAAUUGAAAUAGAGGUAAUGGUAAACUUUAUGUUCCUUUUUAACUGUUUCCUUACUACAACUCGUGCUCCUAAAUAGCUUCAUUUAUGUAACAAUAUCUAUCAAGGCGUAUAAAGUACUAUUAAAAACUUAUAUGUUGUAACAUUUUUAAAUUAUCAUCGUAUUUUGGUAUAUUGCAAAAUACGGACCAAUUUAACACCAAAAAUUUGUUUUAGAAACUCUAGAGUUCUCGUAUUUUUCUUUUCUCAUAACAUCAUUUUAUAAUUUUGGGAACUUAACUACUACGUCAGUACAUCAUAUUUGUAUGUGUCCUUCUAGGGGUCCAAGGUUCCAUUAUUUUUUCAACAUUCUUCAAGAUUGACUGGCGAUGGGUAUGUCUUCAGCUCGUUAAAGGACUUACAAUUAAUUUUUUUUAAUCUUAUGUUAUAUUUAUUGAGUUUGAUAAGAUGAUUAUAAGCUUCACAAACUCAAUGAUUUUUGAGUAAUCCAUAUUACUUAUAAUUAAAAAAAAAUCCACAUCUUUUUAGUCAUAAAAGUUGUUUUAUUUUGGGACCAAAGUUGGCUAAGAAAGAAGUGAGAUAGCAGUUGAGCUCACCCAUAUUGUAUAGGUUAGUCCAGUAAAUAUCCCUAAAUUCUGAAUCUUGGUCUAGUACGUUUAUUGAGUAUUGUAAUAUUUACAAAAUAAAGCAUACUUGUUCAAAUGAUAGACGAUAUACUCCACUAAAGUUUAUUUAAAAGAACAAAUGUAUACUUUUUCUUUUUGACGGAAAUAAUUAUUUAUUGAAUUUUUUACAUUGUCAGUUACUUCUUAAACAAAAGUAACAAUCUUUAUUUAAAUAUUAUUUAAGAAGUAACUGACAAUGUAAAAAACUCAAUAAGAAGAUAUUUAAUGUUGACCAUAAAAGUAAUUCGGUUUCUCUUGCCCUAUUACAGAACAUUAACCAUUACAUCCACGAUAGCCACAAAAAGUUCAAGAAAUUUGUACUCUUCCACCUAGUCAUAUGUAAACUGGUUACACUUUUAGUAUUUUUGAUCCAGGUAUAUCUUAACGUUGGAAAUUUUUUUAACAUGAAAAGAAUUACUAUAUCAUUAUGAUUAUGACUAUUAUUUUAUAAUAAACAUUUUGUAUGUUCAGAUAAAGGGUGUUUUGCUUGCUAUGAUUAUUUGGGCCAUGGGAGUUGCAACUGUUCCUCUAAUUCUGAGAUGCUACCAAAUGGUACAUAUUCAUUCUUGGUUGAUCAAAAUGCAGAUGAACUACAUGAUCCUAGGGCUGUUGAAAUUAAUCUUGAAGUUGAGUAACCAUGCAAUCUGUUGUAUCUUUAAAUUCAUUAUUUUAAUAUUCUUUUUGGUGAUUAGAGAGGAACAAAAUUAGCAAUUUUAUCUUAUUUACACCAUCAUAUUUUGUUCAUAUGUCUCAGAGAUUUUUUUGAGUUUAUCUCCUGUAGGUGUUACGCUUAUCUAAUUAAAGUAUAAUAAUGUAUUUUCUCAUUGUAAAUAGAAGCGGAAUUCAAGUUCACAUGCCAUCAUAUUGUAUUAGUUUAAUUGCUCCAACAAAUCAAAGUUGUAUAGGCCAAAAUCUGUCCUACGGAAAUUUAGCAUAAACUGGUAUUAAGAAAAAAGAUGUGGUCAAAGUCGACUAGGAAACAGUGGG